GUCCCUGUUGCGCAAUGAAUAGCGCGUUGGGCUUCUAAUCCAAAGGUCGUGGGUUCGGUUUCCAUCAGGGAUG